rnacentral:rRNA from 1 species
AUUGAACGCUGGCGGCAGGCCUAACACAUGCAAGUCGAGCGGAUGAAGGGAGCUUGCUCCUGGAUUCAGCGGCGGACGGGUGAGUAAUGCCUAGGAAUCUGCCUGGUAGUGGGGGAUAACGUCCGGAAGCGGGCGCUAAUACCGCAUACGUCCUGAGGGAGAAAGUGGGGGAUCUUCGGACCUCACGCUAUCAGAUGAGCCUAGGUCGGAUUAGCUAGUUGGUGGGGUAAAGGCCUACCAAGGCGACGAUCCGUAACUGGUCUGAGAGGAUGAUCAGUCACACUGGAACUGAGACACGGUCCAGACUCCUACGGGAGGCAGCAGUGGGGAAUAUUGGACAAUGGGCGAAAGCCUGAUCCAGCCAUGCCGCGUGUGUGAAGAAGGUCUUCGGAUUGUAAAGCACUUUAAGUUGGGAGGAAGGGCGGUAAGUUAAUACCUUGCUGUUUUGACGUUACCAACAGAAUAAGCACCGGCUAACUUCGUG